GGCGAGGUGGUUAAUUCGAGUGGUUAUUGUACGUAUCGCAUUGAUUUAUAAGUAUUAGUGACGGCCUGCAAAGCCGUGUAGGCCGGUUCGACUCCGGCUCGCGCCUCCA
rnacentral:tRNA from 1 species